rnacentral:rRNA from 1 species
GACGAACGCUGGCGGCGUGCUUAACACAUGCAAGUCGAACGGAAAGGCCCUGCUUUUGUGGGGUGCUCGAGUGGCGAACGGGUGAGUAACACGUGAGUAACCUGCCCUUGACUUUGGGAUAACUUCAGGAAACUGGGGCUAAUACCGGAUAGGAGCUCCUGCUGCAUGGUGGGGGUUGGAAAGUUUCGGCGGUUGGGGAUGGACUCGCGGCUUAUCAGCUUGUUGGUGGGGUAGUGGCUUACCAAGGCUUUGACGGGUAGCCGGCCUGAGAGGGUGACCGGCCACAUUGGGACGGAGAUACGGCCCAGACUCCUACGGGAGGCAGCAGUGGGGAAUAUUGCACAAUGGGCGGAAGCCUGAUGCAGCAACGCCGCGUGCGGGAGGACGGCCUUCGGGUUGUAAACCGCUUUCGCCUGUGACGAAGCGUGAGUGACGGGAAUGGGUAAAGAAGCACCGGCUAACUACGU